UGCAGCGUGGGGAAGUAGUAUCCUGCGAGCCUCAUAAGCUCGAGAUCGUCGGUGCGAAUCCGACCGCUGCACCCA
rnacentral:tRNA from 1 species